rnacentral:rRNA from 2 species
UCGACCGCGUUUGGCCCGUUGUUGAUGGUGCUUGCACCUGAUUGAUUUUUGGUCGCCAACGAGUGGCGGACGGGUGAGUAACACGUAGGUAACCUGCCCAGAAGCGGGGGACAACAUUUGGAAACAGAUGCUAAUACCGCAUAACAACGUUGUUCGCAUGAACAACGCUUAAAAGAUGGCUUCUCGCUAUCACUUCUGGAUGGACCUGCGGUGCAUUAGCUUGUUGGUGGGGUAACGGCCUACCAAGGCGAUGAUGCAUAGCCGAGUUGAGAGACUGAUCGGCCACAAUGGGACUGAGACACGGCCCAUACUCCUACGGGAGAGGCAG